GUAGCGGCGAGCGAAGCGGGAAGAGCUCAAAUUUAUAAUCUGGCACCUUCGGUGUCCGAGUUGUAAUCUCUAGAAAUGUUUUCCGCGUUGGACCGCACACAAGUCUGUUGGAAUACAGCGGCAUAGUGGUGAGACCCCCGUAUAUGGUGCGGACGCCCAGCGCUUUGUGAUACAUUUUCGAAGAGUCGAGUUGUUUGGGAAUGCAGCUCAAAUUGGGUGGUAAAUUCCAUCUAAAGCUAAAUAUUGGCGAGAGACCGAUAGCGAACAAGUACCGUGAGGGAAAGAUGAAAAGCACUUUGGAAAGAGAGUUAACAGUACGUGAAAUUGUUGGAAGGGAAACGCUUGAAGUCAGACUUGCUUGCCGAGCAAUCGGUUUGCAGGCCAGCAUCAGUUUUCCGGGAUGGAUAAUGGUAGAGAGAA
rnacentral:rRNA from 1 species